rnacentral:rRNA from 1 species
AUUGAACGCUGGCGGAAUGCUUUACACAUGCAAGUCGAACGACAGCACGGGGGCAACCCUGGUGGCGAGUGGCGAACGGGUGAGUAAUGUAUCGGAACGUGCCCAGUCGUGGGGGAUAACGUAGUGAAAAUUACGCUAAUACCGCAUACGAUCUAUGGAUGAAAGCGGGGGAUCGCAAGACCUCGCGCGAUUGGAGCGGCCGAUAUCAGAUUAGGUAGUUGGUGGGGUAAAGGCCCACCAAGCCAACGAUCUGUAGCUGGUCUGAGAGGACGACAAGCAACACUGGAACUGGGCACCGGUCCAGACUCCUACGGGAGGCAGAAGUGGGGAUUUUUGGACAAGGGGCGAAAGCCGGAUCCAGCCAUGCCGCGUGAAGGAUGAAGGCCCUCGGGUUGAAAACUGCUUUUGUACAGAACGAAAAGGUUUCUACUAAUACUAGGAGCUCAUGACGGUACUGUAUGAAUAAGCACCGGCUAACUACGUGCCAGCCGCCGCCGUAA